rnacentral:rRNA from 1 species
UACGUAGGGCGCAAGCGUUGUCCGGAAUUAUUGGGCGUAAAGAGCUCGUAGGCGGCUUGUCACGUCGAUUGUGAAAGCCCGAGGCUUAACCUCGGGUCUGCAGUCGAUACGGGCAAACUAGAGUAUUGCAGGGGAGACUGGAAUUCCUGGUGUAGCGGUGAAAUGCGCAGAUAUCAGGAGGAACACCGGUGGCGAAGGCGGGUCUCUGGGCAAUAACUGACGCUGAGGAGCGAAAGCGUGGGGAGCGAGCAGG